AUUGAACGCUGGCGGAAUGCUUUACACAUGCAAGUCGAACGGCAGCACGGACUUCGGUCUGGUGGCGAGUGGCGAACGGGUGAGUAAUGUAUCGGAACGUGCCCAGUCGUGGGGGAUAACGUAGUGAAAAUUACGCUAAUACCGCAUACGAUCUAUGGAUGAAAGCGGGGGAUCGCAAGACCUCGCGCGAUUGGAGCGGCCGAUAUCAGAUUAGGUAGUUGGUGGGGUAAAGGCCCACCAAGCCAACGAUCUGUAGCUGGUCGGAGAGGACGCGCGGCCACAGUGGAACUGAGACACGGUCCAUACUCCUCCGGGAGGCAGCAGUGGGGAAUUUUGGACAAUGGGCGAAAGCCUGAUCCAGCCAUUCCGCGUGCAGGAUGAAGGCCCUCGGGUUGUAAACUGCUUUUGUACAGAACGAAAAGGUUUCUACUAAUACUAGGAGCUCAUGACGGUACUGUAAGAAUAAGCACCGGCUAACUACGUGCCAGCAGCCGCAGUAA
rnacentral:rRNA from 1 species